UACGGAGGGGGCAAGCGUUGUUCGGAAUUACUGGGCGUAAAGGGCGCGUAGGCGGCCUUCUAAGUCGAACGUGAAAUCCCCGGGCUCAACCCGGGAACUGCGUCCGAUACUGGAAGGCUUGAGUCCGGGAGAGGGAUGUGGAAUUCCAGGUGUAGCGGUGAAAUGCGUAGAUAUCUGGAGGAACACCGGUGGCGAAGGCGACAUCCUGGACCGGUACUGACGCUGAGGCGCGAAAGCCAGGGGAGCAAACGGG
rnacentral:rRNA from 1 species